CCGUUCCGCGCAAGGGUCGCCGCCCGGUCGAUGAGAGAUGCGCGCCGCACCUGCCCCGUUCGCGGGGCCGGGGAAGCCGUUCGAGCAGCGUCGUGUCGCGGUCCGGGACUGUCCUCAGUCCCGGGUCGUCUCGGCGCGGUUCCGAGCGGUCGCUCCCUCGCGAGGUGCCGCGGGUCAGCGGCUGACGCCAGCCACCUUCCCGACCCGUCUUGAAACACGGACCAAGGAGUCUAACAUGUGCGCGAGCCGCGGGGCAGUACGAAACCCGUAAGGCGAAAUGAAGGUGAACGCCGGCGCGGUCCGGCGGAGGUUGGAUCCCGUCCCGUCGGGGCGGGCGCACUACCGGCCGAUCUUCUCCGCCCUGUCGGCGAGGUCGAGCGAGAGCGUGCAAGUCGGGACCCGAAAGAUGGUGAACUAUGCCUGAGGAGGUUGAAGCCAGAGGAAACUCUGGUGGAGGACCGUAGCGAUUCUGACGUGCAAAUCGAUCGUCAAAUUUGGGUAUAGGGGCGAAAGACUAAUCGAACCGUCUAGUAGCUGGUUCCCUUCGAAGUUUCCCUCAGGAUAGCUGGCGCUCUGUCGCAGUUUUAUCUGGUAAAGCGAAUGAUUAGAGGUCUUGGGGGCGAAACGCCCUCAACCUAUUCUCAAACUUUAAAUUAGUAAGAAGCCCGACUCGCUCGUUUGGAGCGGGGCAUGGAAUGCG
rnacentral:ncRNA from 1 species